CGCCUUAAAACCGUGGCUUGGCACACGCUACCGCCUCAGUGUGCUUCCAACAGUGAGAGGGGAAGGACGUCUCUGUUCCGAACGAUCAGUCAAUUUAUAGAAACAACUCAGUUUGUAAGCGAAAAAUGAGUGAGUUGAUUGACCAAUAAGGAAAGAGAAACUACACAAUGGCUAUAAAAAUCAACUAAUCAGAACGUAGAUAUUCUAGUGACGUCAUAAAUACACAGAACCAUUAUCCAAUCAGGAAAAGAGAAGUGGAUGUCG